UACGGAGGGUGCGAGCGUUGUCCGGAAUCAUUGGGCGUAAAGCGCACGUAGGCGGUUCUUUAAGUCAGGGGUGAAAUCCUGGAGCUCAACUCCAGAACUGCCUUUGAUACUGAGGAUCUUGAGUUCGGGAGAGGUGAGUGGAACUGCGAGUGUAGAGGUGAAAUUCGUAGAUAUUCGCAAGAACACCAGUGGCGAAGGCGGCUCACUGGCCCGAUACUGACGCUGAGGCACGAAAGCGUGGGGAGCAAACAGG
rnacentral:rRNA from 1 species